rnacentral:lncRNA from 1 species
AUGUCAGCACUCCGUCCAAACAACGCCGUCGACCAGAGCGCCAGGGCCAGCUCGCCAGAACUUUUCCUGCCUCACCACGAUUUCUACAACGAUGAUUUCACGCAAGUGGACUACGACGCUAUCGAUAGCACGGUGAGGAGCACCAUAAAUCCGGCCGUUUUCCAAGGCGAUUUAGACGCCAUCCUCCCCGCAGAACCUCCGCUGCCGAUCGGCGAAAAGACCGCGGCGAGAAGACGACGUUAUUUUCGUCUCCGCACACCAGGAGAACUGCAGGAAAAUAAGUUUUAAAACCGAAGCGGUAAUCGAGAAUAUACAGACUCCGCCGCAGCGAAAAGAAGAACAAGAAGACGACGUUAUUUUCGUCACCGCAUACCAGGAGAACUGCAGGAAAAUACCUUUUAAAUCCGAAGGUAAACAAUAUUUCUACAAAAUAACGUAUUCGAAAAGCCGAGCAUGCUAUACCGCCCCUCCCGAC